rnacentral:rRNA from 1 species
GGUGUAGGCGGAUCUCUAAGUCGGGGGUGAAAGCCCAGGGCUCAACCCUGGAAUUGCCUUCGAUACUGGAGAUCUCGAGUGCAGGAGAGGUGAGCGGAAUUCCGAGUGUAGAGGUGAAAUUCGUAGAUAUUCGGAGGAACACCAGAGGCGAAGGCGGCUCACUGGACUGUUACUGACGCUGAGACCCGAAAGCGUGGGGAGCGAACA